GUUCAAGCAAUCAUUCACAACCUGGCAAAAGAACAUUACAAAUAAACAAGCAUACAAGAGCAGGAGGGCAAUGCAUAGGUUCAUGAAACCUUCUUAUGGAUGAGAGUCAUGAGACCCUUUUCACCAGAGUGAGAAGUACAGAAAGAAUAGCAACAAGUAAAACAGAAGUGAAAUUUAUUAGAAAUCAUAACCACAUAUGGACACUCAAAAUACAUUACUUAGAUGGAAAAAGAAAAAAGAAAAACAAACUUUUUUGCAGUACAGUAGGUUUUUUAAACUAUAAAACUGACUAAAAAAGGAUCACAACCUAAAUGGGCAAAUAUUUUAAAGUCACUAACAAGGAAGCAAAUGACUACUAAUAAAAGGAAAAUUUAUAAGAGAAACCUGAAUACUAAAUUAAGAACUAAAUCAAAAUAAUUAAAUAUUAAGAGCCUGUUUAUGCUUGUGUAAAACAAUUAUCUGUUUUUAAUUUU
rnacentral:misc_RNA from 1 species